rnacentral:rRNA from 1 species
UUCGCCCGGGGAUUACGAGCAUAAGCUUAAAACCCAAAGGACUUGGCGGUGCUUUAAACCCACCUAGAGGAGCCUGUUCUAUAACCGAUAACCCCCGUUAAACCUCACCUUUUUUUGUUAUUUCCGCCUAUAUACCGCCGUCGUCAGCUUACCCUGUGAAGGUUAUCUAGUAAGCAAAACUGAUUUUAUCCAAAACGCCAGGUCAAGGUGUAGCAAAUGAGAAGGAAAGAAAUGGGCUACAUUUUCUAAUUCAGAAAAUACGGAAAUUGCCAUGAAACAGCAUAUUUAAAGGAGGAUUUAGCAGUAAGUGAAGAUUAGAGAGUUUC